CUACGGGCGGCUGCAGUGGGGAAUAUUGCACAAUGGAGGAAACUCUGAUGCAGCAACGCCGCGUGGAGGAUGACACUUUUCGGAGCGUAAACUCCUUUUAUAUAGGAAGAAGAUGACGGUACUAUAUGAAUAAGCGCCGGCUAACUCCGUGCCAGCAGCCGCGGUAAUACGGAGGGCGCAAGCGUUACUCGGAAUCACUGGGCGUAAAGAGCGUGUAGGCGGAUUAAAAAGUCAGAAGUGAAAUCCUAUAGCUUAACUAUAGAACUGCUUCUGAAACUCUUAAUCUAGAAUAUGGGAGAGGUAGAUGGAAUUUCUGGUGUAGGGGUAAAAUCCGUAGAGAUCAGAAGGAAUACCGAUUGCGAAGGCGAUCUACUAGAACAUUAUUGACGCUGAGACGCGAAAGCGUGGGGAGCAAACAGGAUUAGAUACCCGGGUAGUC
rnacentral:rRNA from 1 species